GGUAUUUGUAGUGGUGGAAACCAUUAGAAUUUCUGUGAUUUCUAUUGUUUGGAUGUUGUUUUUUCAGUAGAGAUAUUAUUGAUCAAUAGCUUAAAAUCGCAGAAUUGUCAGACAGCAUUAUGUAUAAAUGCUUGUUGUUUACAGUGUGGUUUAAUUUAUUGAUGAGUGUCAAAUAAAAGGAAAAAGUACAUCUACUCAGGACAUCCACAUAUACCUCGUACAUCCGCUCAGUACAUACUCAUAUACCAUCACAUCUCAGUAAUAAGUACUCAUAUACCCAUCACAUCCGCUCAGUAAGUACUCAUAUACCCAUCACAUCUCGCUACAUACUACUCAUAUACCAUCACAUCCGCUCAGUAAGUACUCAUAUACCAUCACAUCCGCUCAGUACGUACUCA
ensembl:lncRNA